rnacentral:lncRNA from 1 species
AUAUAAUGCAUAGAUUGAUGUAUGUUUAGCAAAAAGACUUGUAGGGCAUCAAGUACAUCAUAGAGUUUUACUAUUGCCUUAUUACAACAACAAAAUUACAUCAUCACAGAGUUUUAAUUCACAUAGUUUCAUCACCAAAAGUUAACACAACAUCACAUCAUCUUAGUUGUUUGCCCCUGGCGGAGGCAUGACAGUCUAGACCUUGAAGGUUCUUUGCAUUUUAAACCAUAGAUUUUUAGCUGGUCACCAAAGUCAUCAAAGUUUUUGUUGAAACUUUUCUCCGUCUCUUCCUUCUCUGUCUUGAGUAUGUAAACACUAUGCUUAAGACCGUCAAGACUCCACUAAAGAAGGGCUAUGCACUCCAUGAGGGGUUUCAGAACCACUUUCUGUAGGGCCUCGUGCAGGGUACUUGGAGGGAGCACAUAAGAUGGAACCUAUUAAUAUAUGCACAAAAACUGUAAUAUAGGAACAUAUAUAUAUGAAAAUCCAGCAUACAUCUUGAUCGAUACACAUGCAUGCAUUAUAUUGCAUCACCAAGUUAAAGUGUGUUGGCAAUUCUUAACGCAAUCACCAAAAGUGGACACAAAGUCUAGUCCCUAGCAACGGUGCUAGAAAUGCUUAAUGACACUCCUUAGUAAUACUAAGAAAGGACAGAGGUUAACUACUAUCCUUGAAGUGUUGGGUCGGUAGUUCUUAGCUACACCUAAGGUGAGGCUAGAGUUGGUUAGUCCACUAAUGCCUAGAGGGGUUGUCAAUCCCGACACUAGUAGGGCCAACAUACGUGAUUGAAAUCUACCUAGGUGAAUGGGAAUCUGCAAGCGCACAGAACUAUCGUGUGUAGCACUUCGCUUGGUGAGUAACCAGGUGUCAAUUUAUAAUUUCCCAAAGGAAGGCUAAGGUGAUGUGGUCGAGUUGGGCAAGAAUGGAUGAUCUGAGCUAGGAAUGGUAAAUGAAUGGGUAAAGGAUAACCAAACUAAUAUACCAACUAACCUAGAUAAAUAAGAGUGGUAGUAGAUUUAGGGGACCCAGUAAAAGAAUAGCACUAGUUAUUCAAGUCAAGCAAAGAGGCGUAUGUGUCCUAAACUCACUCAAGAGAAUUGAUUAGGCAUGAUGCACAAUGAGCCUUACGUUUUAAGAACUAGACCGAACGUGGGGGAAUACGUAGGCAAUGAGCGCUGUCUCCACUUGGUGCUACCCCAGCUAUCCGUGGGUCUAGCCGUAUCUGAAUGUAAGCCUAUAUCCUAAGCACCGCGCUUAAUCUAUACUCCUACUAUCUUUACCCAAGCUCUAGAGUAAAGACACCCUAGCUAGACAAUAGAGCAAUUACUAGCUUGAAUAACUAACAUUAAACUAACCAAGCACUUAUCCCAACACAAUCAAGCACCUAAGGUCACUAAUGAUAUGAGCACUAUAAACUAAGUACUUGAAAGGUAAAUAGCACUCAAUAUACCAAAGGUAAAUGAUAAAUAAAUGAGUACUAAGAUAGAAAAGGUAUAAUACCAGAGUGAAGAGGAGGAAGACUAUUCCCGUCUCCAAGCUGAGCUACGCCUGGCUACUCCUCCCGCUUACAACUCCCAGCUGCUAGAGCGAAGCUGAGCUGGAGGCAGAGAGGCUAUGGAGCUGAGUUGGCUACCUAAGCGAGGGAGCUACUACACUAACACUUGCUCUGAGCUCUACGCUAUGCUUGAGCCUCUUCUUGUGUUCUCUUCUUUUCUCGCCCUCAAAAUAGUAGUCGAGGGUGUCCUUUUAUAGCCCAGGGAGUCUUCUGGUGGAAGGAGCUCAUAGGGGAGUGAAGAGGAGUGGGGGGCACCACUCUCCCCUGGUGGGCGCCAGGGAUCUACGGUCGGCGCCACCUCUGGGUAACCGCCUUUGCUCCCGACGGUCUAGAUGAUCUCCCAAGGUCGAUUUCUGGUAAGACACAUGUCGGAGUAUCGUUUUCUCACGUGUUGGAAGGCCAUGAUCCAUGUGACAACAUGUUCUGGCCAUUGGAUCAAACUGUCAUUGCUUUGGACGCGUUAGAUGAACUCCUGGAUAUGUCACGCGGAUCGGUGAUGUGGCUGGCCACGCAGAGGGUGGCGCUCGCCAGGUGGGCUCGGCGGCCGCCACCUUGGCAUAGCGCCCGCCACCCUGGUUGGCCUAUGUGGCACCAGGUGUGGUGGGUUGCCUUCCAGGUGGGUCAUUUUCACUCUUUUUCCUGUUAUUUCCUGCAUACAAAUAAAUUUCUAUGUACAUGUGGAACUAGGUAAGUAAUAACCAAAAUAUGCACAUGUUCAUGUUGAUUUACCAUGGUUUUGGAUGAAAUGUUGAUGGUCAAAACAGGUGUUAAGGACCAUCAACA